rnacentral:rRNA from 1 species
GACGAACGCUGGCGGCGUGCUUAACACAUGCAAGUCGAGCGGUAAGGCCCUUCGGGGGUACACGAGCGGCGAACGGGUGAGUAACACGUGGGUGACCUGCCCUCAGCUCUGGGAUAAGCCUGGGAAACCGGGUCUAAUACCGGAUAUGACUCCAUGACGCAUGUUGUGGGGUGGAAAGCCUUGUGCGGCUGAGGAUGGGCCCGCGGCCUAUCAGCUUGUUGGUGGGGUGAGGCCUACCAAGGCGACGACGGGUAGCCGGCCUGAGAGGCGACCGGCCACACUGGGACUGAGACACGGCCCAGACUCCUACGGGAGGCAGCAGUGGGGAAUCUUGCGCAAUGGGCGAAAGCCUGACGCAGCGACGCCGCGUGA